rnacentral:rRNA from 1 species
CCUACGGGAGACAGCAGUCGGGAAUAUUGCUCAAUGGAGGAAACUCUGACGCAGUGACGCCGCGUGCAGGAAGAAGGUUUUCGGAUUGUUAACUUCUUUAUACAUGGAAGAAAAAAGACAUUACCUGUAGAUUAAGCUCCUGCUAACUACGUGCCAGCAGCCGCGGUAAUACGGAGGGAGCAAGCGUUAUCCGGAGUUAUUGGGUUUAAAGGGUGCUUAGAGGGAGAAGCAAGUUAGUUGUGAAAUCCCGCGGCUUAACUGAGGAACUGCAACUAAAACUACUUCCCUUGAGUACUGGAGAGGAAAGUGGAAUUCCUAGUGUAGCGGUGAAAUGCGUAGAUAUUAGGAGGAACACC